rnacentral:lncRNA from 1 species
AAAUAACUAAUUUGCGAUCUGGAAGAUAACCACACCUCUAGUGCUUCUAUUGGGUUAUCAACUGAUGACGUACAGGGAGUCUGGCCCUUUAAAAGUUAAGACAAAGGGAAUAUACGAGAGGGAGGCAGAUGCAAGAUAUGCAAAGGAGAGGAGAGAGGAAUUGGAAGUUUGGGGAUUCCAACUCGGACAACAUCUGAGACUAACACUCUACUCCUAAAACUCUAACACUUAGAAUUUACUGACUUUCUAAC